UCUUACUGGCACAUUACUGACACUGAAACAUGAAAGCGUGGGUAGCGAAUGGGAUUAGAUACCCCAGUAGUCCACGCCCUAAACGAUCUUCACUAGCUUUUCGGAGUAUCGACCCUCUGAGAGGCGAAGCUAACGCGUUAAGUGAAGCGCCUGGGAAGUACGGCCGCAAGGCUAAAACUCAAAGGAAUAGACGGGGACUCGCACAAGCGGUGGAUUAUGUGGUUUAAUUCGUAGGUAAACGAAGAACCUUACCAUGCCUUGAAACCUAAGUGAAAGCUCGCAGAAACGUGAGCCCUCGCAAGACUCUUAGGCAGGUGUUGCAUGGCCGUCGUCAGCUCGUGGUUUGAACUGUUCCCUUAAGUGGGCUAACGAGCGCAACCCUCGUCGUCUGUUACAAGUGUCAGGCGAGACCGCCCAGCACUGUGCGCACAAGCGCGCAGAAGGUGGAAAGUAGAAUGUGGAGAGUAGCGAAAACUAUUUUCUACCUUCUACUCUCUACUCUCUGUGUUCGUUUGCGAACACUGUGCUGGGAGGAAGGAGAGGAUGACGCCAGGUCAGCAUGACCCUUUGAUGGCAUGGGCCACACACAUAAUACAAUGGCUACUACAGUGGGUCGCGACGCAGUAAUGCUGAGCCAAUCCUCAAAGGUAGCCCUAGUUCGGAUAAAAGUCUGCAACUCGACUUUUUGAAGCUGGAAUCGCUAGUAAUCGCAGGUCAGCCAAACUGCGGUGAAUACGUUCUCGAGUCUUGUACUCACCGCCCGUCAAUUCAAGGGAGCCGGUAGUACCCGAAGGCUCUCCACACGGAGGGACUACGGUAAGAUCGGUGACAGGGAAUAAGUCGUAACAAGGCACGGCUAGCGGAAGCUGGUCGUG
rnacentral:rRNA from 1 species